GACGAACGUUGGCGGCGUGCUUAAUACAUGCAAGUCAACUGAAGCAGUGGUAGCAAUCUCGCUGUGGAGGUGGCGCACGGGUGAGUAACACGUAGGUAAUCUGCCUUCAGGUCUGGCAUAACUCCGGGAAACCGGGGCUAAUAGCAGAUGAUGCAGCGGCUCGACAUCGAGACAGUUGUUAAAGCUAUGGCGCCUGAAGAUGAGCCUGCGUCUGAUUAGCUAGUUGGCGGGGUAACGGCCCACCAAGGCAACGAUCAGUAGCUGGUCUGAGAGGAUGAUCAGCCACACUGGAACUGAGACACGGUCCAGACUCCUACGGGAGGCAGCAGUAAGGAAUAUUGCUCAAUGGGAGAAAUCCUGAAGCGGCAACGCCGCGUGAGGGACGAAGGGCGUUUGCUUGUAAACCUCUGUAGUGAGAGAAAAAAAUCCCAAUCUUUGGGACAUGAUGGUAGCUCAAAAGUAAGCCCCGGCUAACUACGUG
rnacentral:rRNA from 1 species